rnacentral:rRNA from 1 species
UGGCGAACGGGUGAGUAACACGUGGGUAACCUGCCCAUCAGAAGGGGAUAACACUUGGAAACAGGUGCUAAUACCGUAUAACACUAUUUUCCGCAUGGAAGAAAGUUGAAAGGCGCUUUUGCGUCACUGAUGGAUGGACCCGCGGUGCAUUAGCUAGUUGGUGAGGUAACGGCUCACCAAGGCAACGAUGCAUAGCCGACCUGAGAGGGUGAUCGGCCACACUGGGACUGAGACACGGCCCAGACUCCUACGGGAGGCAGCAGUAGGGAAUCUUCGGCAAUGGACGAAAGUCUGACCGAGCAACGCCGCGUGAGUGAAGAAGGUUUUCGGAUCGUAAAACUCUGUUGUUAGAGAAGAACAAGGAUGAGAGUAAAACGUUCAUCCCUUG